rnacentral:tRNA from 1 species
GGCCCGGUGGUGAAAUUGGCAUACACGCUAGCCUUAGAAGCUAGUGCCGCAAGGCUUGCGGGUUCGAGUCCCGCCCGGGCCA